rnacentral:rRNA from 1 species
AAGUACGGUAAUUACGUGGGACGUAAAGCGCAUGCGAGGCGUUUGUUAAGUCAGAUGUGAAAGCCCGGGGCUUAACCUCGGAAUAGCAUUUGAAACUGGCAGACUAGAGUACUGUAGAGGGGGGUAGGAAUUUCAGGUGUAGCGGUGAAAUGCGUAGAGAUCUGAAGGAAUACCGGUGGCGAAGGCGGCCCCCUCGGACAGAUACUGACACUCAGAUGCGAAAGCGUGGGGAGCAAACAGGAUUAGAUACCCUGGUAG